GACGAUACUCAAAGGUUCGAAACUACUACUUGCAACUUGCAAAGCAGUGAUCCGUAUCAAAAUUUACAUUUGGGAUGCUUUGCCCUAAAACGACAUAAAGGAACUAAAAAGAGAGUGUUGCGUCUCGGAAAAUCUUAUUACAAAAAAAAAAAAAAAAGAACAAAGAACUACAAUAUGUAUAAUAACUUGAUAAACUAAAAAAUAUUUGGACAAUAUCUCACUUAAUUUGUAUCAUCUUUGCUUAAGAGUGUCGCAAAAUUUUGUUGGAUAUAUCCGGAAGGGACAAAAGAUUUCGACAAUCUUUUUUUUGUUUGCC
rnacentral:lncRNA from 1 species